AUACGUAGGGGGCAAGCGUUGUCCGGAAUUACUGGGCGUAAAGGGUGCGUAGGCGGCCUGAUAAGUCAGAUGUGAAAUACCAAGGCUCAACCUUGGGGGUGCAUUUGAAACUGUAAGGCUUGAGUGCAGGAGAGGAAAGUGGAAUUCCUAGUGUAGCGGUGAAAUGCGUAGAGAUUAGGAGGAACACCAGUGGCGAAGGCGACUUUCUGGACUGUAACUGACGCUGAGGCACGAAAGCGUGGGGAGCGAACAGGAUUAGAUACCCUGGUAGUCCACGCCGUAAACGAUGGAUACUAGGUGUAGGGGGUAUCGACCCCCCCUGUGCCGGAGUUAACGCAAUAAGUAUCCCGCCUGGGGAGUACGGCCGCAAGGCUGAA
rnacentral:rRNA from 1 species